AGAAAAUUAAGAAAAAUUCUUCCACGAAACAACCGAAGCAAUCUCUCGACAUUCUAAUUCGCCAAACUCUUAAAAAGCAAAUAGAUAACUUCAAAAAAUCUUUAUGUUCGAUAUUCGAUUGAAAUGUUCACCUACCCCAAUAUGAAGCACCCAUGAAUCUCUAUCCUUUCUCGAACCAUGCACAAAUACCACACCUCUAACAUAUACAAAAAAGAACCACAGAAAACCAACCAAUCAACCAAUCAGCGAAAUUCCUCUCGUCACCACUUCCAGCAGCCGUGUUACUCUCGACGCUUGCCAAGAGGGCACGCUAGAACCGCGAAUGAGAUAGGGUAGGCGCUUGGCAAUAGGAAGGAGAGCGGAGAAGGAAGAAAAAGCAUGUGCCGGGCGCGGAGGUGGAGGACGAAGGGAGCGGCGACGGUGGCAGCGGAGGAGAGUAUGCAGAUGAAUAGCUCGCAGAAACCGUGAGACUCUACGGUUGCCCUAUAUAUCGGGGAGCUCGUGGAGAACUCGCGCGGUGCCAGAGCGUUUGUGCUCGACUCACGACUCUCGUGUGUUGUGUCGCCCGUCUUUUAAAACUCGAACUCGGUCGGUCUGUACGACGACGUCGCCGAGAGGCGAAGAGCCACCGGCUCUCUGGAUGCGCGCGCGAAAGACCACGGACGUUGAAGAAACGAUCCGGCCUGGAGAACGGUAGAAAGAUACACUAUGUGGCUGUGUUGACUCGCUUGCGCUAUACAAGGUGUCUUGCAAGUGGUGACACAAUCAGGGCAAGGGUGAUUCCGUUAGGCGUAGAAUUAAUUUGGCAUCUUUGCGCUGGAUUGUAAAUUCGUUUUAAAUUUCAACGUUUUCCCGGCAUUUUGACACUCUAAAGCGACUACAGAAAGUAUUCGUACUUACGUCACAUUCUUUUGCCGUGCAACGUUUUUUCUGUCAGGUUCUAUAUUUCAUUUUUAUAAUAGCAACUUUUUAUAGUCGUAUGAAGAUACUACAGUGAUACGAGAUUCAAUAUACUUGAACCUAAUUAAUUAGUAUGUAAACGCGUAAUGAAUACGAUCGUGUAUGUGCAUAUCAUGUAUAAAUUUAUCCUUGCUAAUUUCUUUCUAAUUGUCCAUCUUCAAUUCGUCAAUAUACACAUGUAUGCAGAGAUGUUAGUUAAGUUCAGAUAUACAAAAUCGACUUUCUCAAAAAUAGAGCCUCGUAUGCAAUAA